UGGGGAAUUUUCCGCAAUGGGUGAAAGCCUGACGGAGCAACGCCGCGUGAGGGAUGAAGGCCUCUGGGCUGUAAACUUCUUUUCUCAAGGAAGAAGAUCUGACGGUACUUGAGGAAUAAGCCACGGCUAAUUCCGUGCCAGCAGCCGCGGUAAUACGGGAGUGGCAAGCGUCAUCCGGAAUUAUUGGGCGUAAAGCGUCCGCAGGCGGCUUAUCAAGUCUGCUGUUAAAGCGUGGAGCUUAACUCCAUCAUGGCAGUGGAAACUGAUAGGCUUGAGUAUGGUAGGGGCAGAGGGAAUUCCCGGUGUAGCGGUGAAAUGCGUAGAUAUCGGGAAGAACACCAGUGGCGAAGGCGCUCUGCUGGGCCAUUACUGACGCUCAUGGACGAAAGCCAGGGGAGCGAAAGGGAUUAGAUACCCCUGUAGUCA
rnacentral:rRNA from 1 species